GCCAAUGUGGUUUAAUGGUUUGAGCAUUGGACUAUAAUUCUGGAGACCAGAGUUCCAAUCUCCACUUAGCCA